rnacentral:rRNA from 1 species
CGCACGGGUGAGUAACACGUAGGUCAUCUACCCCUAUCACAGACAUAACCCCGGGAAACCGGGGCUAAUAUCUGAUGAGGUCGCGAGAUCAAAGCUUAGGCGGAUAGGGAUGAGCCUGCGGCUGAUUAGCUAGUUGGUGAGGUAAUGGCUCACCAAGGCGACGAUCAGUAGCUGGUCUGAGAGGACGAACAGCCACACUGGAACUGAGACACGGUCCAG